UGAUCCAGCAAUGCCGCGUGAGUGAUGAAGGCCUUAGGGUCGUAAAGCUCUUUUACCAGGGAUGAUAAUGACAGUACCUGGAGAAUAAGCUCCGGCUAACUCCGUGCCAGCAGCCGCGGUAAUACGGAGGGAGCUAGCGUUGUUCGGAAUUACUGGGCGUAAAGCGUACGUAGGCGGUUAUUCAAGUCAGAGGUGAAAGCCCGGGGCUCAACCCCGGAACGGCCUUUGAAACUAGAUAGCUAGAGUCUUGGAGAGGUCAGUGGAAUUCCGAGUGUAGAGGUGAAAUUCGUAGAUAUUCGGAAGAACACCAGUGGCGAAGGCGACUGACUGGACAAGUACUGACGCUGAGGUACGAAAGCGUGGGGAGCAAACAGGAUUAGAUACCCUGGUAGUCCACGCCGUAAACGAUGAUAACUAGCUGUCCGGGUACUUGGUAUCUGGGUGGCGCAGCUAACGCAUUAAGUUAUCCGCCUGGGGAGUACG
rnacentral:rRNA from 1 species